GAUUACUUUCCGUUAGCAAUUUUUUUUUUUACUGUAGACUUAGCACUUUCUCAUCGGAUUGUGUGAUUUGCUCAAUAUGAGUAAAAAGAACCCAAUUGCUACUACUUUUAGUUAUUUGCAGUAGCAUGGACUCAAACUUUUAGGUACAUUUAGUCAGAGCUCGAACCGCGGUCGUUUUUUUGUUUUGUUUUCGUUUCAGGCCCUCCAGUUUAUUUUUUCGGUCGGGAUUUCGGAGCUGAAAAGUAGUUUGGUUUUGUGAUUCCGGAACGAAAUUCGUGGUAUUACGGUUACAGUUCAAAUUGUGUCCGGUUUGAUGAUUUGUAAUUCUCAACGGUUGAGGAAAGGGACCGGAAAAAAUCGAUGGAUGUAGCCAUCAACAACCGCAAGUGGUUCCACUUCCUGGUCAACCAGCAGUGCCAGAUGUACUGUUCCGCCAGAUUUGGAAGUUCAAUGCCCUAGCAGGACUCGGCACGGCAUUUUCCACAUCCCCGGUUUAAACGAGCUGAUUUACGAAGGCGUCUAUUGAAUAUCAUGCCGCUUGGGAGAACGGAACACCGCAAAAUGGGAAAAAAAAUGAGAAAAGAACGAGUUUGCAUGUAAGUUUUGAAUGCGUUGUUAUUGAUGAUAAUUUUUCCAUCAACUGUUUUUUAGAAAUUAUUAGCAAAAAAAUGGCAUCAAAUGGAAGACGUCUCAUUAUUCCUGCUGCCCAAGGGUUGGCAUCGAACCUCAUUCAGGCGUAAAAAUACUGAAAACUACCAGUUAUUUUGAGCAUGUUUUUAAACGCGUAUCAAAACGGAGUGGAAAAGUUAAAAAAUUGUGUGUUUUCAUAAGCAUUUUUCUCGGUAAGUGUAUUUUAUUCUAAAAUAGUUUCCCUUGAUUCAAAAUCGGAAACCAGAUCAGAUACCUUCUGGCAAUUGAAAUUUUCUGCAGCUGUUUGGCAGCCACAUCUAAUAUUUUCGAACAAUUAAAUAGUGGGGAUAGUAGUUAGAUUGAAUUUGAAAGAAUCUACUUAAACGUUUGUUUACAUCUCUUUAAUUGAUUGCUGUUGCCUAAAUUUCGGAAUUAAAGUUUAAUAUUGUGUGCUUAACCAAAUGUGUCAGUGAGUCAGUUUAAAAAAAUGUCAAAAUACUACAAACAAAACUUCCGAAGACGGUAGUGAAAAAUAUACAUGAAUUCUUAUUUGCCUAAACAAAAAAACACCUAUUGAAUAAGAAAAAACUAUUUUUUUUUUAAUUUCCAGGCUGGAAUGCUGCUACCUUUGUUAGUUGGCUCAAUUUCAUACUUCUCUGUAACUUAAUCGAAGAUCGAGAGAAGGGAUCCGGAAGAAACAUUUUAGCCUCUUGGCAAUUUAGCCACCUUGCCGAAUGAAAUUCAUAGACCGAAGAUUUUUUUUAAAUUGCGCGCUGAUGAGCUUUGUGACUUGGCAAACAAACAUUAUCCCACCUUGGGAACAAAGACUGGUGUGUUCUUUGAGGUUUGACUUCUUAAUUUUAAAGUGGAAACGAGAAAUUGAAAAUGCCUUUUACGACCGAAUUUCGUGACUUCGAAAGAUUUCGGUAAAGCGAUGAGAAAGAAGUUGUAACUUUCAAAGUUGGACUUUAUGAAAUUUGUUUACAAACGAUCAUCUCGACAUCUCGAAAUCAUUGACGGCAAAGAAGCUUCUGAAGUGAAAAAAAUCCUCCGUGAUUAAAAUAAAACAAAAAAUAGGAGCC